rnacentral:rRNA from 1 species
CCUACGGGAGGCAGCAGUGGGGAAUAUUGCGCAAUGGGCGAAAGCCUGACGCAGCGACGCCGCGUGAGGGAUGAAGGUCUUCGGAUCGUAAACCUCUGUCAGCAGGGAAGAACGGUCACUGUGCUAAUCAGCAGUGAAUUGACGGUACCUGCAAAGGAAGCACCGGCUAACUCCGUGCCAGCAGCCGCGGUAAUACGGAGGGUGCGAGCGUUAAUCGGAAUUACUGGGCGUAAAGCGCUCGUAGGCGGUAUGUCAAGUCAAGGGUGAAAUCCCCGCGCUCAACGUGGGAACUGCCUUUGAAACUGGCAAACUGGAGUGUGUGAGAGGAUAGUGGAAUGCCAGGUGUAGGAGUGAAAUGCGUAGAUAUCUGGAGGAACAUCAGUGGCGAAGGCGACUAUCUGGCACAUAACUGACGCUGAGGAGCGAAAGCGUGGGUAGCAAACAGGAUUAGAUACCCUGGUAGUC